CUCCCCCGCGGCCCGAGCGCGAGCCGCCGUGACGUCACGGGCCGCCCGCCAGCCCCGCGCUCCAGCGGGCAGAGCGCGUGCGGCCGCCGAGCACAUGGGCCCGCGGGCCGGGCGGGCUCGGGGCGGCCUGGACCCGGACGGGCGGCGAGGGGCCGCGCGCGGGGACGGGCCCCGGCACCCCCCGGGCCCCCCGAGAGGAUUUCCACGCCGAGAGGAUGUUGGCAGCGCCGGCGACCUGCCGAGACGCGGCGGGAUCCACCUUCCACCCUGAUCUUUGGACCAGAAAGGAAUUAAAAAGAUGCCCCUCACGAUGGCCGUGCCUGUCGGUUACAUGGAGCUCCAUUCAAGGAUUUUCGGAGCCUUUUGGAUUUACAGUGAUAUUCAGCUGCCUGGGGAAUAACGUUGGUGGAAGCUUUCUCUGGAGUUACGUACACCCGACACCUGUCUGGAUGCUACUGGCGGUUUUAAGGAAGGCCCUGGCUGAGUGCCUGGCGGAUCCCUGCAGCCUGGAUGCCCGUGGGAGACGGAGGACCGCGGCUUCCUGUGAGGGCUGACGACUCUGUCCUUCUCUCCUCACGGAUGCCUGGUUGGGUCUCUGCCAGCCCCGCCGGGGGCUCCCUGUGACACAAUCCUGUCCUACCUGAGAUUUUGGUGCCUUCAAUCUGAAAAAAAUACGCGUCCCUCUGGUACUCUAGAGGAACUUGAGAACAAUCCUUCCCUGAACUAAAGCCAGACCAUUGUGGGAUUUGGAGACUAAAGGUCAGGCUAUGAUUUUGGCAGAGUCCCGAGCUCCUGUGGAGAUUUGCCUCUCACCAGCCUUGGGCUAUCUGCAUUCUUAAACAUCUCAGGGCCCAGAAGAAUUUGACCAGCUCUGGGAAUGGCCUGAAUGAAGAGAGGUCCUUCUCCUCUUCCCACAUAAAUGGACUGCAGGGAAAAAGAAACUUCCUGGCCUGCCUGAUACCAUCUCUAAGGAGGCAGAGGAAACAAAACCCAUUGACAGUGAGAGAACUGCUACUCGGGGAUGUUAAGUAACCCAGCAGAGGUCACACAGCUAAGUGACACAGAGGAGCGUCCCAAGUGGUGAAGACCAUUUUCCAUCACUGCUGUCCUCCACGAGCCUGUGUCUGGAAUGAGACCUGUCUUUGCGCUCAUGAACAGGUUGGAUGGGUAAGAUACCUGGAGGUGUAGCAGCCAUCUUGCAAGCAUGAGGAGACAAGUCAACAGAAUGAAAUGCCAGAGCAGAUAAGACAGAAAAAGCCUGGGUCUUUGAUAGCAUGGUUGAGCUGUUCCACCAGCCCAAGACAGGAGUCUACAUCCAGACUUUCUGUUAUUGAAACAAUGGCCGCUUCUUUACGUCACUCCAAGUUGUCUUUCAUUUGCAGCGGAAAACGUUUCGAAUGGAUACACAGACUUCCGCCAAAGCACAGCCAGUGUCGGGCUGUGUUGGGCUAGUACGGUGGUUAAGAGCCCAAAUUCCAGAGCCAGAAGUCCCAGGUUCCAAUCUCAGCUCCACCGUUACUAGGUAUAGGGCCUGGGCAAGUCAUUUAGCUCUUCUGUGACUCACUGGCCUCAUCUGCAAAAUGCUCAGCAAAGGUGUGGACCCGAGGUUCCACAUUUUACCCAUGAGACAACACUGAGCUGAGUUAAUCCGAAAUCACGCAGCUCCAGCUAGAAGUGGGGGAGCUGAGAUCUGACUCCACGUAAUCCCAGGCUCUGAGACCCUCGUUGCCACUGCACCAUGUCCAGCUGCCUGCCGACAGCGUGGAGACCUUGGGUGCGGCUCCUGGAAUCAGGUUGCCUGGGUUCCUAUCCCAGCUCAACUGUCGAACGGCAUGAUGAUCCAAGGUGCCCAUCUCUGAUGGCUAAAAUGCGGCUCGGCUCAAAGGACCCCUCCCUGAGCUUCACCCGCUGGCCCCACAUCUGGAACAAUUCAAAUCCUCGUGGCCCCUGCUGUGAACGUUGAGGCCACCCUGUCCGCCGGUGACCACGGAUUGCAUUUCCCCCCGAUUGCAGGCGUGUGGGCAGUUACAAGUUGAAAACCAGCAGCCGGCUUCAAAUACAUUUUCUUCAUGCCCUCUCUGAAGUACUUCGUUUUUCCUUUGACACCUUAAUUCUGCCACGCUAUUCCAGCAUGCUGAGAAUAGACUUCUCGAUGCCCUGCGGCUCUCACGGGUAAGGUGGUGUUACUCUCAUUUCUGGGUAAGAAGAAACUCAAGCCACCCGUCAAUUGCUGGUGUAUUCAUUAGGGAUUGGCCAUGUGUCCUGCAAUGAGUCUAGGCCUCCUCACAGGAGAAGAGUAAAGAUAAAAUAAGGAUAAUGUGCUAGAUGCAACUUACUACUUGGUUCCAAGGGAUGAAGUGCUGGCCGGGAGCCAAAGGAAGGUCACUGUGUCUGGGGCACAGAGUGCAUAGGUUUGUCAUUGUUGUGAAUGGAGGGACCUUGGACACCUUAGUUACCUUCACUUGGCGUCAAUUUUCCAAUCUGUAAAAUGGCAACAAUGAUACUUCACCACAUCAGGUUGUUCUGAAGACUAAAUGAGAUCAAACGCCUGAAACACAGUAACUACUCAGCUAUUUUUAUAAUAAGUCCUUUAUUUCUCAGUUUGGGAGAGAGAUAGUCAACAGCUUUUUGCUACAUGUUUUUGCUCCCUUAGAUGGUCAGGGCCCACAGUUAGGAGCCUCUUACAACUUUGAUUUUGGGGGUGGUGAGAACGAUCUUCCUGGGCACCACUUACUAAGGGCUCCCUGUCCACGGUGCCAGCUGAGCAAGGCGGGGUCAUUGUCUAGUUACCAUUUCAUGGUCAGCAGAUCUUUUUCUUCCUUUCUGUCUACAAAGACAGAAUAACAGGCUUCCAGGUCCCUACGCCCCAAGGAAGAGACUGACCAGGAACCCAUGAAGGCUGGGUUCAAUGAGACAAGUACAUCCUUGCAACUAAAGGUGCAGGAAGUCAGCCAGGACUUCCAGGCGUGGAGCCUGGUCACUUCUGUCUUGUUCAUGGCUUAGAACAGCGCCUGGAACAUGGUAAACGGUUCAUAAAUGUUGGGGAGGAUAAACAGUCCCCUCUUGUGAAUGUCACACUGCCUGCUGUCCUCAGAGGCUCUGGCUUCCUGUGUCUCUUAGACUGUGAUGCCAUGAUGCCAACAGGAGGACACUUUCUGGCUUCCCUGGCUGCCUGCCAAGAUGCACUCAAGCCGUGAUGUACAGUCAACGGGGCACUUUUCGCCUCUGGUUUUCCAGAGUGGAGAGCACAUCAUUGCCAAGAAGUUUCUGCCUCACUCUUAGUUCCCCAGGGUGGCCUGCCAGUCACCGGUGUGGUACCUCAGACAAUGGAGAUGCAGGGGCCGUGACUCCCUGCCUGUAUGUCAAGGUCUUCGACGCCCACUUGCGCAUGAGCUGGAAGAGGCGUGUCCAUCUCAGAGCGUGAAGAGCUGGCGAAGUCCCCACGGUUUCUCUCCGUCUCCUGGACCCACUUUCCCCUCUUCACAGUGGCUUCUUUGUGUCCCCCAAGGGGCCAUCUCCUGCCCCUCCAGCUCAUCUCCAGCUCGUGGCUUUGCUGACUCCUCACCUACCUGUGCUGUUUUCUGUACUGCAUAGAACUGGGUCCUCCAGGAAGACAUAUUGGAGUCCUGACCCACAGCAACUGUAAGUGUGACCUUAUUUGGAAAUAGGGUCUGUGCGGACAUAAUCUGGUUUAGAUGAAGUCAUUCUGGAUCAAGAUGGCCUCCAAUCCAGUCAUGGUGUCUUUGUAAGAGAGAUGGACAGACGGGGAGAAGGCCGUGUGAAGGCAGGGGCAGACAUGGGUGGGGACGCUUCUGCAAGCCAUGUGGUGUGUAAGGUUGCUGGCCCACCACAAAGGCUAGAGGAGGCCAGGAAGGACCUUGCCUUUUAGGUGUCAGAGGGAGCAUGGCCCCAUGGACACCUCGAUUCAAGACCUUCAUCCUCCGGAACUGCAACAGAAUAAAGUUCUAUGGUUUUAAGCCUCCCAGUCUGUGGAGCUUUGGCCACCCCAGAAGACCCACACACUCCCCUCCACCCUUCCGUCUCCUCCUCAGUGUCACCUCUUUGUUGAGUUACCCACCCGGGGCACAUUUUACCAUUCUUCCACCAGACCCUGAGGGGCUGAUUCUCUGCGGCUCUUUUGGAGCAGAUGUGACCGGGAAAUCAAUACAGCCAUUAGAUUAAUCUGCGGCAACCAUAAUGUCAUUGCAUCUUUCGCCCUGUGAUGUUGACAGAGAUGUCAGAGCUAGGAGGAGGGGAGGCGCUUCAAAGAAGGAAUGGGGCCUCCGAAGUGAAGGGGAGACUUGAAACCCCACAGAGCCUCACUUAACGGACGAAGGAUUGUGGGUGGCUGCCUCUGGCAUCAUCAGGUCUUCUGUCAGAGAAUGCAGUGACUUGGCAACAGGCAGAGCAGGGGGACCUGUAAAGCUCGGACAUCGGGAGGCCUCUCGGGAGGAUGAACUCGGCAGCAAUGGAGCGGUAGCCUGAGCAGUGGUUCUUAUCCAGGGGCACUUUUGCCACACCCCACCCCCGCACCCGCCCCACCCAAGAUACUUGGUGAUGCCUGGAGACGGUGUUUGGCUGUCAUGACCUGUGUGUGUACGCAUGUGUGACUAGCGUCUGGCUCGUAGAAGCCAGGGAUGCUACCCAACAUCCUCCUGUGCUCAAGACACCCCCCACAACGAAGACUUUUCCAGCCUGCGGUAGCAGCCGACAGUGCUGAGACCCAGGAAGUCGGGUGGAGACAGAAGUGGCUGAGCAGCCGGUGACUACAUUUCCUAGCAUCCCUUGGGGCUAGGUGUGGCCAUGUGACUGGUUCUCACCAAUGGAGUGGGGACAGGCGUGCUGUGCCAUGCCCAGGUACAAGGCUCUUAGUAAGUAGAUGGGCCUCUUCCCUGCCCCGCCCCACACCCCCCUCACCCCCCAGGCUGGAUGAAGAGAACAGCAAGGUUAUUUGGUCUGGUGUUUUGUUUAUUCGUCAUAGACAUUGGUUUCUACAGAACAACUCAGAGGAUAAACAGAGGCACACGGCUGUAAUUGCCACCACAAUCUGCUGCUGAGGAGACAUGCGACCCGAGGAUAAGGGGCUGGGAGCUGGAUGGGGUGUGUUGGGUCCCGGGAUAACUGGAGGCCCCUGUGAUGAACCACGUAGGGAUCCUGUCAGUCACGAUCUGACCCCCGGGCCUGAUGGUGACAGUGGAGCCACGCGGGGACCUAAAUCGCCAUGUGAGGAGAGCUGUCUGCCAGUCAGAGACACUCAGCUCGGACUUUCAUGAGAAAAGAUAAAGAAGCAAAUGUUCAAGGAGGCUAGCAGGCCAGAGAACUCUCAUGUGCAAAGGAGAAAUGCAGCAUUUGUAAGAGCGCAAAACUGCUAAGCCAAGUGUAUGUCCGCAGGAGAAUGGACGAAAUGAACUCCUACAAAGAGCGUAAACGAACUAUAAAUAAGUGGAUUCGAGCGGCCUGUGCUACAUAUCUCAGAAUCUCAGAAACAGUCUUAAGCAUCAAAGCCGUCUCAAAAAGGUAGAUAUCGGAUGAUGUCACAAAUAAUGUUACAUAUUGUGCCAGUCAGGGUCCCAGUAGGAAACGGAAGGCGAACUUGGAACUCUGGAAAGAAGGAAAGGAAGGCAGCUUUUCCAGGGGUGGUAGGUGUGGCGGACUGUUUCAUGGCCACAGAUCCCACAUCGCUCCUUCCGUCCCGCGGUGGAAUCUGUUUUUCCAUCCCCAUUCAUCUGGGCUGGUUUUGUGACUUGUCUUGAUGAGAGACUGUGGCAAAAGUGACUUCAGGUAGGUUACACCGGGCUUGAAGUUUUCUCCCUUCACACCUUUUUAAAAAAUGUUUUAUUUAUUUUUUGAGAGAGAGAGAGAGAAAGCAGGGGAGGGGGAGAGAGAGGGAGACAGAGCAUCAGAAGCAGGCUCUGUGCUGUCGGCGUGGAGCCUGACGCGGGGCUCAAACCCACGAACCUCGAGACUGCGACUUGAGCCGAAGUCGGAUGCUUCGCCGACUGAGCCACCCCGGUGCCCCUCCGUUCACACUUGAAAUGCGCUGACAUUAUACAAAGGGGCCUGCACCAACCUGCCAGAGGCCUUGUGGACAGAAAGACCCAACCGCCAGCCAGCGCUGACCGCCAGAUGCGUGAGUGAGGCUGCCUGGGGCCCAGCCAGCCCCUAGCUGACCACGAGCGGGCUACCGAUGUACGAGGAGGGCAGCCAGAACCACUCCAAGCCGAGCUUCCUAGCUGAGUCCAGCUCAGAUUACCAACCCAAGGGUUAGGAACAAAACACUGGUUAAUAUUUUCAGCUAUUAAGUUUUGGAGUGUUUCUUUGGGAGUAUAUAAUCGACUUAGAAGGGUCAAGGAACCCAGAAGAGGAGCUCGGGCGUUGAAGUACAGUGGCAAGAGGAACUCAGCGGGUCUGAAUGAAUCAUCAUGAGGAAGCAUAACUUGUUGAGGCUUCCCAAGACACGGAAAGGAAUCUGGCCGACCUCUGUGUUGAAGCUUUACGAGACAGGUGUGAGCAGUAAGAGACCUACCGUAUAUUUUCUCUCCCCGACUCUUUGUUUCCUGGUAAUGGUGCACCUUCUCCACGUACACGAAGCUAGUCUGUGGUGAGAAAAAUCAGCAUUUGGAAGACCGGAACUUCACUUGUCUCCUAAGAAGAACCUUACUUUUAUGUUGGGUGUGAAACCAGGAGCAUGUGCUGUGGCAGCAUUGAGAAGAGGGAUGUCAGGCUUCUCUAGACCUGUCCACCCACAAAGCCAUUGCUUCAGGCAAGCCUCCUCACCAUUCCAGGCCUCCUGCUCUCUAACACGAGCAUUUAAAUACCCACCCACAGCAUUUAGAUGGUUAUUGCAAGUAAAAGAUGAAAUGAUUUCAUUGUAAUUAUUAUUAUGGUUACUUACUAUGGUCUCAGAGGAGAGUUCUUUAAGAUGCUGGAACUCUCUUGGGUCCAGGAGCAUGAGAACGAUUGUUCUUCUAUGACCAGUUCUUUCCAACUCUCCACAUAAAUCCAAACCAAAUGCAAAAGGAUAUAUUUAAAAACGUUUCUUACUUGACCACCGGGAGCUCUGAAUGGACUAGUGUAGAAGUUUGGGUCCUCUGAGAAGUACACACUAAGACAGGGUUAGAUGCCUAAGAGGGUCAUUGGAGGAAACACCUGUGAAGAGAAAGAGGGAGGAAGUAGGGGGAGGCAGGGAGAGACUUUAGACCCUGAUGUGGGUCUCACACCUGUGAAAGGAGAGGAGGAAGGAAGGAGACCAGGAAGAAAGAGUCUGAAACUGAAGUACAUUUCUAAGAUCCAGUGUUUGGACAGAGACCAAAUUGCCUAUGAGAGCAGUUCCAUGCCCCAGAGAAAUGAGCCUGGGCUUAUACCCUCGUCAUGCUUAGUCAUUGGCAGGGAGCAGCCUGUGGGAGGUGUGACCUUGGCAUGAACACAGUGGCGGAGCCAGCACUGGGACAUUCAGUCAACUAUGUUUCCCAUCUCAGGAGACGUGAGCAGUACAUUUUCAUGGCUACCCAGCAAACUGUGAGACAUUUCCUCCUUGAGAACACAUCGUAAGGACUUUGAAAAACAAACCAGAACAUUUGUGAUAGUAUAGAUUUUGCACCCCAAAUCAAUGUUCCAUUCCCUUCUUUGACUUUCACUUCCCCCUCUGUUUCAGCUAGACCAAUCAUGUUGAAAACCCCACCCAGGUUUGUAGAGUUCCUCAUUUGACAAUUAAAAAAAAUUUAUGUGACUGAGUCACAUGCACUUCCUUUGUUUUAUCUUUUCAAUGAGUUGUUUUCAUUUCUUGGGUUUUCUUUGAUUUCAUGUUUUUCCUAUCUUUACCCAUCCACCAUUGCCUGUUCAUACUGUAUUGCUGAUGCCUGAUGUGGUAUUUGUGGAAUAAAUGGACCAAUAAAUUAGUGAACGGGCUAUAAGAGUCAAACCUUCUUCAUGUCUGUGAGCUCCUUGGUGUCAGGGUCUUUGUCUUAGGGUGAUGACAUAUAAUGGAAAGACCAUAGGUUUUGUUCUAUGAUUAGACACAAAUCAGCUGUGUGAUCUUGGGCAAAUUGCACCACCUAUGUGAGCCCAGUUUUCUUUUUUUGACUAAUCAAGCCAAUAAUAGUAUCUGUCUCGUUGAAAUGUAAAUGACAGAGUGAUAAUAAAUGUAAAGUUCUGGGCACAGUGUCCAGCACAUUGGAGAUGCUGAACAAAUGACAGGUAAUGAACGAAUGGGCCUGAGGAAUGUGUAACACAUAUUGUAAUAUAUAAUACAUAACUCAUUAGACUUUGCUCCUUUCCCCGCCCUCCUGAAAGUCCCCUGUCCAUAUCUAGUCACAAAGGAUCCAGGCGAGAACAGGUAGAUGGGUAAAGGAUUGGAACAUAGCAGCAAACAGGCCAGUGUUGAGCACUUACUGUGUGUGCAGCUACUGGGCUAAUCAUUGUGAGACAGGUGGAGAUGACUGAGGUAUACUCCACGUCCUCAAAGAGGUGGCAUUUCAACAUGGCAUUAGGUGUUUGAAGGUAUUGAUGGAUGGACACCUGGGGUGCAAGACAGCAUCAUUAUAGGAUGAAUAGGAAUAGUGUUUUGGAAAAUGUUGAGCAGACUGGGAUGUGGGGAAACAGAGGGAAAGACGUAGCUCGAAAGUUAGUUGAGAGGGGAAUCCAACAUGGCAGAGAAGUAGGGGGACCCCAAGUUCCCUCGUCCCUCAAACACAGUAGCGUUGAGGCCAGAGGACUUGGAAUUGCAAGAGCCCGGACUUCAGAGUGACAGAGACGUCUCCAGGAGCCCAUGGGGACAACCUGGUGGGCAAUAGGUGCGUGAUUGGGAACUGGGAGAGAGAAAACGGGCAUAGGCACCACCCAUAGGAAGGGGAGGGAUUCCCUUCUGCAGACAGAGGGAAGAGAAAGAGAGGUUGUGCAAGUGUAGGACUGUAUUUGGACAAGUGAAAAACCACAGACUGGGGGUCAGGAAAAAAACAAAAUGGAGAAAGAGCCAAUCUCUAACUGCAGGCUUUCUCCCGACUGGGGCCCCAGCUGCUCUGUGUGUGCACCUGCGGAGGAGGGGAGCCAGCCCCGGGCUCAGUACCUAGCUCAGAGGUGCAGUCCGCAGUGGGAGAAAGCGAUCCCCUCCCUGGAGUGCUGUGGGAAGAAGCAAGGUGGGGCUUCAGGGAACAACAGCGGGGGCACAGUGGAGGGGGACCCCCUCCCCGCGCCUGGGAACUAUGUAUCUACCUGAGAUUGACACUGACCAAUCAGACAGCCCCUCCUCCAGACCAGAGCUGCCACUGGAUCCAAGGCACCCAGCGGGUUUGCAUUUUCUGAUUUAAUUCUUGGACAAUUCCUAUUAUACAUAUAUAUACAUAUAUAUACUUUUUCCCCUCUUCCCUUCUCUAGUCUGGUUAUUCUGGUUGUGGGGCGUUGUUUUGUUGAUUUGUUUAAGCAAACAUAUUUAAUCUAUUCUCUUUACACCUGUUCUAUAUCUCCUUUUUAUUUUCCUCCCUCCCUCUCUCUCUCUUUCUCUCUCUCUCUGUAUUAAGAUAUAUAGUUUCAAUGUCUGGUCAGUUUUCUUUUCUUUUCUUUUUCCCUAUCCCUGUCAUUUCUCUCUUUGUAUGGGAUAAGGCCUCUUGCCCACCACCACCACCCCCAAUUUUUUUUUCAUUCUUUUUUUUCUUUUUAAUUUUUUUUUCCAAGGCUACUUUGAUGAAUACAUCAAAGCACACCUGGUGGAGGGUCCAAAACAUCACUACAAGCACGGAGAUAAAGGAACCAGAGUCACAACAGCAGAGAGCACGGAACACACUCUGAAAACCACCUCCUGAGGGGCCGAGCCCUAGGCAGUGUGUGACCCCUCUUUAAUAUAGUAGUGCUCGCAGGUACAGGACACAUAAGCUUUUAAAACACAUAAGGGACAGAAAACUAGCCAAAAUGAUGACACGGAAGAAUUCUCCUCAAAAGAAAUUCCGGGAAGAAACGACAGCUAAAGAAUGUCUCAAAACAGAUGUAAACAAUAUAUCUGAUCAAGAAUUUAGAGUAACUGUCACAGAAAGUUAGUUGGGAUCAAACCCAUGAGGACUCUGAAUGUCCAGCCAAGGAAACUGGAUUUGAUUCUGUAGCUACUGGUAUGUCAAUAAAGGCUCUUGAAGAGAUAAGUGGAAUGACCCAGCUAGCAACUGGAAGGACGAAGUGAGAGUGAACACCUGAAAAUGGCAUGUCCAAAUAACCCCAAAGCAGUGAGUCCCCAUCUAUGGGCUGGUUCACACACCUUUGUCAAUUGCUUAUUUGCCAAUAAAUAAUGUCUUUAUUUUCAUUUUCAACCAAUGCAGGGAAUCUCUAAUAAUGAACCACUGGGCCCUGGCAUCAUUUUCACAUAGGAGGGUGAAGGUUUUAAUCCCUGUUGUAAGUGAGUUAACCUCAGUAGAGGGUACAGAGAUCACCCUUGUUUACCAAGUCACAUUUUUUCAAUCAGCCCGCAUUUUCUGAGCUCGUUACAAGUCAGGCACUGCGCUGAGGGCCAGGGUGUAAGGGCGAAGGCACCUGCCUGUUCUCGGCAGUCUUCUCAUUUGUUGGGAGAGGGACAGGCACGCACGUGACUAUGAGCCAAGAAUGGAACUGACGUGGUAUCUCUUCUCCCAGUAAAGACUCUGCAUUCAAGUCACACGACAGUUUACGGAAGAGUCAAUGUCUGUUCACAUCCCUGUGCCUUUGCUCACACUGUUCCCUUGGAAUCGAAUGUUUUCCACUCAAGAAUCAGCCUACGUGGGGGCGGACCACAGAGAACAAAGGACACAAUUUGGGACAUUCUUUAGCAACUAAGCCUAUCGAGUUUCCUUGCAAACACCAGAUUCAUCUAUUACUGUGAAGAACGAGAAAUCCAAGAUGGGGCCCUACUAAUCCAUGCCGUAGUCUCCAGUGUGUUGAGCAUCUUUCACGUGCUGGGUGCUGGGAACAUGGCAAUGAAUCAUCCUUCGGGGAACUUGCAGCCAGCAGGGAAGAUAAGGCCAGUCCGUGAACUCCCAGAACAGGCAGGAAGUUAUAAGAAGAAUAUAUAUAAAUAGAGGGUUCCAUAUAAAGCUCAGAGGAGGGAGAAGCUAUAUUAAGCUGAAGCAUUGAGAAAAGACAUUUUGGAGCAUUUGCUCUGUGAGUUGGACCUUGAAAAUGGGAGAGACUUGAAGGCAUGCAGAUGGUUUGGGAAGUGGGGGAGUACUGGUGCCAGAGUUCAUUCGGUGCAAAGGCAAGGAGGUGGAAGAAAGCCGGGCUUUCGGGGAGAACAGAGACAUAGCUUAUCAAGAGCAAGGAGGAACUAAAGAAAUGAAAGGAGGAGAGACAGACCAGGGCCAGGUGAUGGAGGAAGCAGAGGUGUUAGCUGGUAACGAAACUGCAGACCCCUAGACGUGAAGCUGUCUUCCCCUCUGAUUCAAGUUGGAAAAAGGUUGCCCGACAGAGGUGCCGCAGAAGUCGGUUGCAAUGCUGCUCGUCUGCUUUUAGACAACAGCAAGAGGCUGCCAGUGCCUUGGAGUUGUGUCUGAGUGCGUUGGUUUAUUUUGUCCUUCUACUGAGUUUAUUAGAGACACAUAUCCUGAAAUGAGAGGGACCGCCUGUUGAUAAGAUCUCAAUAUGGAAAAGAAAAAGCCCGAGGAAUGUCAGGAUCUUCUGCGUGUGUGUGUAUGCGUGUGUGUGUGUUCACCUUCUUGCAGAGAGGUCAAAGGGCUUGGCCAACAUCAUCUUUUUAGGCUUCCGUGCUCUAAGGGAGCUUUUCAAAGGGGGGAAAUUAAAGAUAUAUGGCCAUAAAAGAACACUCUACAUGAGAAUGGAGAUAAUCAAAGAAUUGCCUGUAUUUGGGUAUCCUCUAAGUAUAACAGUACUUGGUUGGCCUGAGUUGGACGUUGACUCUUGAGCUGAUUGAACUCUGAUUAUAUCUUGAGUUCCACCAUCAGUCAUUGCUCUUCUCAAACUGGGAGUGGAUUAGGCCCUGUGUCUAUUCAACAAACGUUUUUUCUGGGCUAACUAGGUGUCAAGAUCUGUGCUGUGUGCUAAAGUAGAGGUCAUAGGUGGAGGCACAAAAUGAAAUAGAAAUGGUCCUUCUUCUUGAGGAUGGUACCGUCUAGUGGGGCAGACACAUAUGUGCAGAUAUUUUCAAUGCAACGUAUUGAUGGGUCAGAUGGCAGUAAACGCAGGGUGCUUGCUGUAAGAGCCCCAAGGAGGCACGUGUCCUUAGCCUGAGCUAAGGGUGUUGGGAACGGCUAGGGAAGGUUGUUUAAAGAAACCGAUACCUCAGCGUCUCCUCUACUGUUGGUCCAGCUUUAGAACCACAGCCUCUCAAAGCUGGUUACCCGAGGCCACCGUACCUAUCAAACUUAAUUAUCAUCCCUUGUGUCACUAUCUGAUGUGCUGUAAACUUCAAAGGACAGAGACUGUUUCUAUUUUGCUCCUAAUGUGUUUCCACCAUGUAAAAGUACCAGCACCUGGUAGGUACCUCAUAAACACGGGUUGUGUGUUAAGGAAGAAGACAUUAGCACAUGAAUUUCGCCCUCUCCCUCUAAGUGCUGAGGGGAGUUCCAUCGUAAUAUUUAAUGACUGAUUUCUGCAUUCCUGAUGCUGAGCCAAGUCUAGAAAGAAACCACAAAAAAAGGAAAGGUGUGUUGGACCAAACCGAACCUUGGACAUCAGCUGAUUCUAUGCCUCAUUUAUACGGAUGGAAAGUUGUUGGGAGAAGUUGCAUUGUAACUAUGAGUGCCAGGUCAUCCAGGUAAUUAGCAGUGCAGUAAGUCUAAAAUCUAGCUACCCCGACUUCCAGUCCUCAGCUCCUUGUGGUGAGUCACUGGGAUUUUUCUAUCAGUUCCAGAUACGUAGGGGGAAGUGCAAAGAAUUCUGAGAAGGACUCCUCUCUUUUGAGAGCAUACGGAGUGCUUCUGAAUGCUGAAGGAGUCUCAUCUUGCAAACAAGGAAUUGGAGACCUGGAGAAGUUACGUAACGUGCUUACAACCACACAGCUAGUCAUCGCCAGACCGGGAUUUGAACCCACGCUUGGAUUCUGGAGGCCAAGCCUUCACAGUGACACUCUGUUCGAAUAAUGAUUGUCAAAGAAGCUUACAGGUGGAUACUGCUUCUUUCAUAAGGACGGUCUCGCUUUGUCCAUGCAGCAGCCCUGUGAAAUCGAGGCUACCAUCAUUACUCCACAGGUGUGAAACGGGGGUCAACAAGCUGAAGAAACUGGUCCAAAUUGGCCCUGCGCCGGAAUAGUGGAGUCCGACCGUUGUGCCACUGGGCUGGGGACCGAUUACUGCUCCUGUGAUGUUCCUGGCUCCGCUCUGCUUCUACUGGCCCCUCCCUCGCGGAGCAUGCCCUCUCCGAGGACCCCAGUUGAGUCCCGGUGUGGUUUUGUUUGUUUUGACAGUUCUCUUUUCUCUCUCAUUCUCUUCAAUACUCUAUGAUGCAUGAAACUCAUUGUUUCUAUAGGCAUCACGCGGUUCUGCAGAGCUUAGAGUGAGCUACAGUGGGCUUCUAGCCUGGGGAGGGUCACUGGCAUUUAAGGACAUCAUCCUUGGAAGGAUGGCUCCAGGUGAAUUCAACCUCUGAUGUCAAGGUCACCUCCUACCUGGGUGUUGAGCUCACCUUGAUUUACACUUCCUCAGAAGGAAACACAAGGCUGUCCGUAGAUGGAGUUUGCACGAAGUCAUUGCUCCCUGCAAAUUUUAGAAAGGCACCCUGUUUCCUGUUGUUUGUGGUUUUGAACUCUCCAUCACCUGGCCUUGAUGAACCUGUCUAAAUCCUCCAGACUGCAGUCUGUCACUUAUGUCAUUUUUUCUCUGGGCUGUCAUAGCACCCUGUGCUUGAGAUAUUCCUUUGACUAGAACUCCCCUGUGUUAACCUUUGGCUUGGCUACCAUGGUUUCAGCUAAGAUGUGACCUAUCACACAAAAUCUUCCUUGACUUCCUAAACCGCACAUCUCUCCCAUGUCAUGGAAUCUCUUUGAAAAAAAGACUCUCUGUGGGGGCACCUGGGCACCUGGGCUCAGUCGCUUAAGCGUCCGACUUUGACUCAGGUCAUGAUCUCACGGUUAGUGAGUUCGAGCCCCACAUCAGGCUCUGUGCUGACAGCUCAGAGCCUGGUGCCUGCUUUGGAUUCUGUGUCUCCCUCGCUGUCUGCUCCCCCCACCCCACCUCUCUCUCUUUCUCUAAAAAAUAAAUAAAUAUUAAAAAAAAGACUCCGUUCAUCUUAGCAUUUGUUACAUUGUCCUGUUUAUUAUCCUUCUCCGGCACUACGCACUGAACUCUUUGAGAGCAGUGGUUUCUAGCAUCUUCUAUAAUGCUUGGCACAUAGUAGGUGCUCGAUGAAUAGCUGUUGAUUAAAUGUUUGCUUCGAUCUCUG